rnacentral:rRNA from 1 species
UCAGACUACGUGAGAUAAGUCUCGUGGUCAAAAGGGAAACAGCCCAGAUCUACAGCUAAGGUCCCAAAUAUAUGCUAAGUGGAAAAGGAUGUGGCAAUGUUAAGACAACCAGGAUGUUGGCUCAGAAGCAGCCACUCAUUAAAAGAGUGCGUAACAGCUCACUGGUCGAAUGAUGCUGCGCCGAAAAUUUAACGGGGCUAAGCAUAUAACCGAAGCUUAGGCAGUGCAAACUGGGUAGGGGAGCGUCGAAUACGGGGUGAAGCAUGAUCGGAAGGACAUGUGGACUGUAUUCGAGUGAGAAUGCCGGAAUGAGUAGCGAGAAUUGCGUGAGAAUCGUAAUGGCCGAAAAUCUAAGGUUUCCGGGGGAAGGGUCGUCCUCCCCGGGUUAGCCGGGCGCUAAGGCGAGGCCGAGAGGCGUAGUCGAUGCACAUACGGUAGAGAAUCCGUAGCCACCGAAGAUUUAAGCACACUGACACAACAUGAAGUUCUGACUCGGGCGUUGGUAGCCCCGAUCGACUGAAAUUUAGUAGGGAGAUCAGGAUGACAUGGUGGCGAGAAAAGGUGUGAGGGAUAUCAAGGUGCCCGUACCGCAAACCGACACAGGUAGAUGAGGAGAGAAUCCUAAGGCCAUCGGGAGAAGGGUUGUUAAGGAACUCGGCAUAUUAACCCCGUAACUUCGGAAGAAGGGGUGCCUCGAAAGAGGCCACAGUGAAAAGGCCCAGGCGACUGUUUAUCAAAAACACAGGUCUCUGCAAAACCGUAAGGUGAAGUAUAGGGGCUGACGCCUGCCCGGUGCCGGAAGGUCAAGGGGAAGUGUUAGAGCAAUCGAAGCACAGAACUUAAGCCCCGGUAAACGGCGGCCGUAACUAUAACGGUCCUAAGGUAGCGAAAUUCCUUGUCAGGUAAGUUCUGACCCGCACGAAUGGCGUAACGAUCUGGGCACUGUCUCAACAGCCCGCCCGGCGAAAUUGUAGUACCGGUGAAGAUGCCGGUUACCCGCGACUAGACGGAAAGACCCCAUGGAGCUUUACUGUAGUUUGAUAUUGAAUUUCGGCACAUUAUGUACAGGAUAGGUGGGAGACAGAGAAACAGUGGCGUCAGCCAUUGCGGAGUCGCCGUUGGGAUACCACUCUUGAUGUAUCGGGGUUCUAACCUGCUCCCCUGAAUCGGGGAGGGGGACAAUGUCAGAUGGGCAGUUUGACUGGGGCGGUCGCCUCCUAAAGAGUAACGGAGGCGCUCAAAGGUCGGCUCAGCGCGGACGGAAAUCGCGCAAUGAGUGUAAACGUAUAAGCCGGCCUAACUGCGAGACCCACAAGUCGAGCAGUAACGAAAGUUGGAGUUAGUGAUCAGGUGGUAGUGAGUGGAAAUGCCAUCGCUUAACGGAUAAAAGCUACCCUGGGGAUAACAGGCUGAUCUCCCCCAAGAGUUCACAUCGACGGGGAGGUUUGGCACCUCGAUGUCGGCUCAUCACAUCCUGGGGCUUGGAGAAGGUCCCAAGGGUUCGGCUGUCCGCCGAUUAAAGUGGUACGCGAGCUGGGUUCAGAACGUCGUGAGACAGUUCGGUCCCUAUCUGUCGUGGGCGCAGGAUAUUUGAGAAGGUCUGUCCUUAGUACGAGAGGACCGGGAUGGACGCACCUCCGGUGCACCAGUUGUUCCGCCAGGAGCACAGCUGGAUAGCCGAGUGCGGUCGUGAUAAACGCUGAAAGCAUCUAAGCGUGAAGCAUGCUUCAAGAUAAGAUAUCCCAUGAUUUCAAAUCAGUAAGGUCACUUGUAGACUACAAGUUUGAUAGGUCGGAGGUGUAAGCACAGUAAUGUGUUCAGCUGACCGAUACUAAUAGACCGAGGGCUUGAACU